rnacentral:lncRNA from 1 species
AUUGGCCCUUGACCAGCCUGAUUGGUUGCAGGAGGGGACCAAUCAGAGGUACCUCCCAUUUUUCAUCUGCAGCCCAAUGCAAAGUAAUGACAUGGAUCUGGAGAGAUUCUCUUAGGAGAGAAUCUGGCUAAGUGUCUAGCAGGAUGAUUGAUUAACAAGAUGUUUUGUUUUCAUCAUCUCAGAGACAGCUGUAUUGAGGUAUAAUUGAUAUGCCAAAUAACUGGACACAUUCAACUUGUGCAAUUUGAUGAGUUUGGAGAUACACAUACAUCUGUGAAACCAUCACCAAAAUCAAGAGAAAGUGGACUAUGAACAAUCGAAAGAAAGUGGUGGAUGGUUUCUGGAAGGACAAGUCUGCACCAGAGAAUAAAAGGGCAUUCCUUAGGGUUGCUGAGGAUUUUCUUUGAUUGUAUUCUGCUAAUGUGUGUGCAAGGCAGAUAUAACACAUUUGUGGAAGGCUCUAGAGACAUUUUCUACAAAUUUUACCCUGGUUUCAGAACAACUUUCUCUGAUCUCUGUGGACAUGCUUAAAAUGGCUGACUCACACAGCAAGACUAUUUAACUGUGCCUAAAAUCAACCCACAUUCAGAUGCUAACUGUAAUCCUAUUCCCUGAUCCAUCAGGAAAAAGAGUCUGAUUGACAUAACUUGUCAAGUGUUCGCCCCAGCUUCUAUCAACUAUGGGGAAGGAAGGGCCAGAAGAGGUGUAACCAUCAUGGCUACCAGAGUACAUGGUUUCCAGGCCAAAUACCACAGUGUUCCAGGCAAGGAUGUGGUCAGUUUCCUUCUCUGCUGGAUCCCAAAGCCCAGGGCAGCUCUUGCACAUAGAUCGUUGUCAUUGGAUUUAAGAGGGCCUACCCUGAUAAUACAGGAUAAACUCCUUCUCCCAAAACCUUUUCUUCUCUCAGAAUCUUUUGGCAGCAAACACAUUCAAGCAUCUUCUAUGUGCCAAGAACUUGCUGGAAAACAUCACAAAAGUUAAUAUUUUCUGGAGAUCAAGGAAUGAAACUCAGCCCUCUGCAAAUGGAACACAAACGCCUGGUACAUGGAUGCUACAAUGAAAAGAAUAUGGGUGCUGAAAUCAGAGAGAAUCAUCCAAGGUGGGUCUCCUCUGUCCUUACAAUCUCCAGUCACACCUUAACCACUUUUCCAGAUGAUCCUUAUGCAUGCUGAACUCUGAGAGCCACCAGUGAAGAAGAUAAGUGACCCAUCUACCUGUAGCUGGAAAAUAAAGGCUCUUUGGGAUUCUUUCCCAUGAGUCUUCAUUUCACCAUAUUGGUGAGAGAAGGCAUUCAGGCCCAAUAAUUAACUGAACAUUAGCUGUGUACCAGACACUGUGGUCGACAUUGAGAUAUAACGGAUUUAAGAAAGUCUUUGUGGCUGUGGUGGCUUCAAAUCACUCCCGAGGCUUUAGAAGAAUAUAAUUGCCGUUCUAAGAAGAAUCUGAGGCCUCUAGGAGAUCUGCCAGUAGUGGCCCCAAUGUAUAACAGCACUAGCUCAGUGAAGAGAGAGAGAAAAGAUCUGAAGAGAGUGGUUGCAGUUUGAGCUCUGUCAAUGGGACAGUCCUGGGCAGGAGACUGGGGAGAAGAGGCGGCUUGCUGGUUUUCCUGAACCACUUCCACCCUGAAAGACUCCUUGCAUACAAUCAUCAGAGAAGAACCGUGGGAACCAAGAACCAUGAGCAGGAGAACCAUGAGCACACUGUUCGCAAUGGCCAAGAUUUGGAGGCAACCUAAGUGUCCAUCGACAGACAAAUGGUUAAAGAAAAUGAGGAAGGAAUAUCAAGAAAAUAGACUACAAAUAAAUGUCUUUUAUUUCUACUUCUUCAAUAUAUAUUAUAACAUUCUUCUUGCCAACUGAUCUUCUUGCCUCCAAUUUGACCCCUCUGAUCCACCAAGUAUUGCAUACUACCGUGUUUUGAGACAUAGGAGGAGGAAAAAACCAUGGCUGCGGAGGUGAUUUAAUAUCCUGUUGACUCUGAAGAAAAAUACACUUCUUCAUUAUAAGAGUUUUAUUGCCAAUGACUAGAAGGAAAUGUAAAGGGGACAACACAAGAUGACUAACACAGGAAGUUAUAAAACUCACAGCUCUAACUGUCAUGGCCCUGGGCCCAUGGUGCCUGAAUCCCUCUGGGAGUAUUAAAUGGAAGGCCCCCUGGUACCUGAAUUUUGUUUUAGUUUUCUCUCUCCAUCUCUGUGAUUACACAUAAAAUCAGCCAAGCACCUGCUCCCCUCCAGCCUAGAUAACACAUACCUCCAUGCUAUAAAGGGACAAUUUGACCAAGAGACACCCACCUCACCUGACCACAGAGCUGGAAAAUCUACUAUGUCAGACUUCCAUGCAACCGCUGGUGGGAGAAAGUUUUCACGAGUCUCUCUGGGCCCUUAUCCCUCUCCCCUGUAUUCCCAUCCUUAUCCAAAUCCACAUUUCACCAAACUCCCUAACGCUAAGCAGCUGUUGAAGUUCAGAUCACAGUCUCUGAGGAGCUCCUGGUUUCCCAUGGAAUGUGAUUUGCCUCAUCAUCUUAC